rnacentral:rRNA from 1 species
CCAAUAGCGUAUAUUAAAGUUGUUGCAGUUAAAAAGCUCGUAGUUGGAUUUCUGGCUGUGCGUGAUGUGUCCGCGUUCCAAAAGGGAUGUGUGCACGCGUUUCGUCGGUCAACGUUUCUGGAUGUCCGCGGGGCUCUUGAUUGAGUGUUCGUCGGUUUUACGUCCAGAUCAUUUACUUUGAGAAAAUUAGAGUGUUCAAGGCAGGCAUUAGUUGCCGUGAAUAUAUUAGCAUGGAAUAAUAAGAUAGGACUUUGGUCGUAUUUUGUUGGUUUCUACAGCCGAAGUAAUGAUUGAUAGGGAUAGUUGGGGGUGCUAGUAUUCUGCGGCCAGAGGUGAAAUUCUGUGAUUCGCGGAGGACUGACUUAUGCGAAAGCAUUCACCAAGGAUGUCUUCUUUAA